UACGGAGGGUGCAAGCGUUAAUCGGAAUUACUGGGCGUAAAGCGUGCGUAGGCGGUUCGUUAAGUCUGUUGUGAAAGCCCCGGGCUCAACCUGGGAAUGGCAAUGGAUACUGGCGAGCUAGAGUGUGUCAGAGGAUGGUGGAAUUCCCGGUGUAGCGGUGAAAUUCGUAGAUAUCGGGAGGAACACCGGUGGGCGAAGGCGGCUCA
rnacentral:rRNA from 1 species